rnacentral:rRNA from 1 species
AUCUACUGCCAUACCACCCUGAACUCACUCAAUCUCUUCUGAUUUCUAAGUUAAGCAGAAUCAAGCCUGGAAAUACCAGUGCUUUAGGAAAAAAAAUGAGAGGCAGCUAGGUGGCUCAGUGGAAA